UCUCGAAGUGGGUUUGCAGGCGGGCAAAGUGGUCAAUCCGGAGCGCGACGGAUGCGUGCGAAGGAACAAAAAAAGGAGUGCCCGGUGUGUCACCGUGUGGUAUUCAAGGUAUACGGGCAUCUAAGGAAAGAACAUCCAGGAUAUGCAUCUGAGAAUUUUAAGCAUGCUUGCGAAACCUGUGGAAGUCGGUUUCCGUCGGUGCGGUGCUUACACAUCCAUAUUACGAAGAAUCAUCCAGCACCACCUCGAGCGGAAUUACCCGCGGAAGCGCGUCAAGCGGCCAUCGAUUACAUGCAAAAAACAGGACGGCUGUCGUAUUUUUGUGCCAGCUGCAGUAAGUAUUUUCUGAAGAAAUCUGUGUUGGACAUCCAUGAACUGUCGCACCGCGUACUGCGAGAUCAUCAAGGGCGUCCAGAACGAAGCUGUCCCGUUUGCGAUUUCACGGGAGCCAGUUUCGCCGAAUUGGCGCUGCACACGGCGGAGCACGCGGUUAGCGCGAAGGCGAGAAAGCAGUGCCUGCUCUGCCCCGAUCAAGUCUUGACUUUACCAACCCAUUAUAAAAGAAUCAUCCAGAGUACCGGGAAAUUGUCGGUAGGAACGGGCAGUUUCAGUGUCCGAAGUGUGGAAUGAAAUGCCAUUCGAAGCAUCAUCUGAACGAACAUUUGCUGACACAUGAUAAAAUGUAUAACUGUCUGUUCUGCACUCAGCAGUUCGAGACUCCCAUUGCGCUUGGUAAACACAACCUGACGCAUCAGAAAGACGGCGCCUUUCCCUGUCCCAAGGAAAUGCACGAUUCGAAGACGGGAAACGCUGUUCUGUCGGGCGAUACCUUCGAGGUCAUGGGCGAUGGGUCCCCGGAGGGAAUCUGAAAGAUUACAAGGACUUAAUAAGCGCAGCAUAAUAAGGCCAUCCGUUUCUGCUGUCGGCUGAUAACUGUGUCUAUAUAAUCAUCUUUACUUUGAUAAAAAAAUUGGGACUUUUGUACCACUGAUCUGAAUUAAAUGCUUUAGCACAG